CAAUAGCGUAUAUUAAAGUUGUUGCAGUUAAAAAGCUCGUAGUUGGAUUUCUGGCAGGAGCGUCCGGUCUCACACUCAGUGCGGGAACUUGGAUGUCUCUGGCCAUCUUUGGGGAUAUCCUGUUUGGCAUUAAGUUGUCGGGCAGGGGAUACCCAUCGUUUACUGUGAAAAAAUUAGAGUGUUUAAAGCAGGCUUAUGCCGUUGAAUAUAUUAGCAUGGAAUAAUAAGAUAGGACUUUGGUACUAUUUUGUUGGUUUGCGCACCAAAGUAAUGAUUAAUAGGGACAGUUGGGGGUAUUCGUAUUCCGUUGUCAGAGGUGAAAUUCUUGGAUUUACGGAAGACGAACUACUGCGAAAGCAUUUACCAAGGAUGUUUUCAUUAA
rnacentral:rRNA from 1 species